UACGUAGGGUGCGAGCGUUGUCCGGAAUUACUGGGCGUAAAGAGCUCGUAGGUGGUUUGUCGCGUUGUUCGUGAAAACUCACAGCUUAACUGUGGGCGUGCGGGCGAUACGAGCAGACUGGAGUACUGCAGGGGAGACUGGAAUUCCUGGUGUAGCGGUGGAAUGCGCAGAUAUCAGGAGGAACACCGGUGGCGAAGGCGGGUCUCUGGGCAGUAACUGACGCUGAGGAGCGAAAGCGUGGGGAGCGAACAGG
rnacentral:rRNA from 1 species